rnacentral:rRNA from 1 species
GACAGAGGGUGCAAGCGUUGUUCGGAAUCAUUGGGCGUAAAGGGCGCGUAGGCGGUUUGGUAAGUCGAAUGUGAAAGCCCAGGGCUCAACCUUGGAAGUGCAUCCGAAACUACCGAACUAGAGUCCCGGAGAGGGUGGUGGAAUUCCCAGUGUAGAGGUGAAAUUCGUAGAUAUUGGGAGGAACACCGGUGGCGAAGGCGACCACCUGGACGGAGACUGACGCUGAGGCGCGAGAGCGUGGGGAGCAAACAGG